rnacentral:rRNA from 1 species
CAGCCGUAAACUAUGCUCGCUAGGUGUCAGGGACGGUGCGACCGUUUCUGGUGCCGCAGGGAAGCCGUGAAGCGAGCCACCUGGGAAGUACGGUCGCAAGGCUGAAACUUAAAGGAAUUGGCGGGGGAGCACAACAACGGGUGGAGCUUGCGGUUUAAUUGGAUUCAACGCCGGAAAUCUUACCGGGACCGACAGCAACAUGAAGGCCAGGCUGAAGACUUUGCCGGAUUAGCUGAGAGGAGGUGCAUGGCGUGUGACUGU